rnacentral:rRNA from 1 species
ACGGAAGGCAGCAGUGAGGAAUAUUGGUCAAUGGGCGGAAGCCUGAACCAGCCAAGUCGCGUGAAGGAUGAAGGUAUUAUGUAUUGUAAACUUCUUUAGCAGCAGAGUAAUAAGGGGGUCGUGACCCCCGAUGCAAGUAUGCUGAAAAUAAGGAUCGGCUAACUCCGUGCCAGCAGCCGCGGUAAUACGGAGGAUCCGAGCGUUAUCCGGAUUUAUUGGGUUUAAAGGGUGCGCAGGCGGUUUUUUAAGUCAGUGGUUAAAUCGUGAGGCUCAACCUCAUCACGCCAUUGAUACUGGAAGACUUGAUUGCGGUUGAGGUUGGCGGAAUUCGUCGUGUAGCGGUGAAAUGCAUAGAUAUGACGAAGAACACCGAUUGCGUAGGCAGCUGACUAAGCCGUAAAUGACGCUCAUGCACGAAAGUGCGGGGAUCGAACAGGAUUAGAUACCCUGGUA